rnacentral:rRNA from 1 species
AUUGAACGCUGGCGGCAGGCCUAACACAUGCAAGUCGAGCGGAUGAAGGGAGCUUGCUCCUGGAUUCAGCGGCGGACGGGUGAGUAAUGCCUAGGAAUCUGCCUGGUAGUGGGGGAUAACGUCCGGAAACGGGCGCUAAUACCGCAUACGUCCUGAGGGAGAAAGUGGGGGAUCUUCGGACCUCACGCUAUCAGAUGAGCCUAGGUCGGAUUAGCUAGUUGGUGGGGUAAAGGCCUACCAAGGCGACGAUCCGUAACUGGUCUGAGAGGAUGAUCAGUCACACUGGAACUGAGACACGGUCCAGACUCCUACGGGAGGCAGCAGUGGGGAAUAUUGGACAAUGGGCGAAAGCCUGAUCCAGCCAUGCCGCGUAUGUGAAGAAGGUCUUCGGAUUGUAAAGCACUUUAAGUUGGAAGGAAGGGCAGUAAGUUAAUACCUUGCUGUUUUGACGUUACCAACAGAAUAAGCACCGGCUAACUUCGUG